GAGGGUAGAGCUCAGUGGUAGAGCGCGUGCUUAGCAUGCAUGAGGUCCUGGGUUCAAUUCCCCAGGGCCCUC
rnacentral:tRNA from 1 species